CCGCCCGCCACAUCAUGAAAGCCGUUUGUACCCGAAGUCGCUGUGCUAACCGCAAGGAGGCAGGCGCCGAAGGUAUGGAUGGUGAUUGGGAUG
rnacentral:rRNA from 1 species